CCUACGGGAGGCUGCAGUGGGGAAUAUUGGACAAUGGGCGAAUGCCGGUUCCAGCCAUGCCGCGUGUGUGAAGAAGCCCUUCUCUGUGUAAAGCACCUUCAGUGGGGAAGAAAGCCUUGGGGCUAAUACCCUCGAGGUAGGACAUCACCCACAGAAGAAGCACCGGCUAACUCCGUGCCAGCAGCCGCGGUAAUACGGAGGGUGCGAGCGUUAAUCGGAAUUACUGGGCGUAAAGCGCGCGUAGGCGGUCUGAUAAGCCGGUUGUGAAAGCCCCGGGCUCAACCUGGGAACGGCAUCCGGAACUGUCAGGCUAGAGUGCAGGAGAGGAAGGUAGAAUUCCCGGUGUAGCGGUGAAAUGCGUAGAGAUCGGGAGGAAUACCAGUGGCGAAGGCGGCCUUCUGGACUGACACUGACGCUGAGGUGCGAAAGCGUGGGUAGCAAACAGGAUUAGAUACCCGAGUAGUC
rnacentral:rRNA from 1 species